rnacentral:ribozyme from 1 species
GAAUAUACAGACACAUGAUGCAUAUAAGGUGUGACUAUAUACACAUGAAUAUUCAUACACAUGAUAUGUAUGUAUGUAUAUAUCUACAUAUCUUUCUUUGUGCGUGUUCUUUUUUUCCUUUUUUUUUUGUUU